rnacentral:rRNA from 1 species
UACGUAGGGGGCAAGCGUUGUCCGGAAUCAUUGGGCGUAAAGCGCGCGUAGGCGGCCCUGUAAGUCCGUUGUGAAAGUCGAAGGCUCAACCUUCGAAAGCCGAUGGAUACUGCAGGGCUAGAGUCCGGAAGAGGCGAGUGGAAUUCCUGGUGUAGCGGUGGAAUGCGCAGAUAUCAGGAGGAACACCGGUGGCGAAGGCGGGUCUCUGGGCAAUAACUGACGCUGAGGAGCGAAAGCGUGGGGAGCGAACAGG